UUGGAGUGUGGUUGAAAUAAUAAGGUAUGAAGCUGAGCUCGAACUCUCGAAAGCUCGCGUGAAAUUAUUCCGCCGAGAGCUGCAUCUCGUGCAUUACCGCCCAUGUUGGUUUUUAUUUUCAGAGUUCUCUGGCAGCUAGAAUAUGCGAGGCUUUGAGCGUCCAAGCUCCUGCUGAGAUGUGCGGAGGUGUGACAUCUCCACACAUCACUGGGAUGUGCGGAGGUGUGACAUCUCCACACGUCACUGGGAUGUGCGGAGGUGUGACAUAUCCACACGUCACUGGGAUGUGCGGAGGUGUGACAUCUCCAGACAUCACUGGGAUGUGCGGAGGUGUGACAUCUCCAGACAUCACUGGGAUGUGCGGAGGUGUGACAUCUCCAGACAUCACUGGGAUGUGCGGAGGUGUGACAUCUCCACACGUCACUGGGAUGUGCGGAGGUGUGACAUCUCCAGACAUCACUGGGAUGUGCGGAGGUGUGACAUCUCCAGACAUCACUGGGAUGUGCGGAGGUGUGACAUCUCCAGACAUCACUGGGAUGUGCGGAGGUGUGACAUCUCCACCCAUCACUGGGAUGUGCGGAGGUGUGACAUCUCCUCACAUCACUGGGAUGUGCGGAGGUGUGACAUCUCCUCACAUCACUGGGAUGUGCGGAGGUGUGACAUCUCCACCCAUCACUGGGAUGUGCGGAGGUGUGACAUCUCCACCCAUCACUGGGAUGUGCGGAGGUGUGACAUCUCCACACGUCACUGGGAUGUGCGGAGGUGUGACAUAUCCACACAUCACUGGGAUGUGCGGAGGUGUGACAUCUUCACGCAUCAGUCAACUGAGUUUCCGUUCACAUCAUUUUGACGCUUUACACAGAUUCACAGCCCAUCAGCUGAGUUCUGGUUCACAUAUAGUAGCCUCAUCACGCCGCUUCGCACGCAAUUUACCACAUGGACAGCGAAAGUAGAACAGUUUCCUUGCGAGAAGUCAACAUUUUCACUUGGCUUCAGACAUUAAACAUUUGCUUAGCAAAAAUUGCUCAUAGUAACCGGUCUUACAUAAACGUUUUACUAAUAAAAACAUGGCAACAAGUCAUACUAAAUAGUGAAAAUCCUAGUAAUAUUAUCAGCAAUAGGUUUAUCAGUGUUAUUCAUAACGUAAUAUGAACUUCAGUGUAGUCAGUGUAUCCCGUAUGGCUCAAAUGCUUCAGUAUGAUAGACCCUUUGAUUAUGGAUGAUGGAGUUGGCGUUCUUACGCUCUCUUGAUCAACAAACAGCCAUUGACAACCACACGGAGACAAAGGAGCAAACACGCGUCAACGUUCACUGAAAGGUCUUCGGCGUAACACAUAAACAAAGUCUUUACCACAUAAGAUGCAACGAACAUCUUAGUAGGGAUACCCCAGACAUCUUCCCCCCUCCCCCCCCCCUUCCCAAAAAUACCUUAAGGACAUUAACUAUUACUAGCAGCUACGUUAGUGGAAAUGGCAGUUAUAACGCUGACGGUUGUUGGGUAGUUAGCUGGAUAGAGUUGACGAGGAGGCAUUGUUGGCUAGUUAUCAGAGACGAGUUACAUUGGGGGAAGUUAGAAUAAUAAUGUGAAGAUUUGUUUAACAUCUGAUGAUGACACGGCUGAAGUUUUAGUGAAUAGUAAUUGUAUAUAAUGGGCGUUAUAAUAGACAGAUUAAUGGUAAUUAUAGAGCAGUCAGCGUAGAAUUGUGUGGGAGAUCGUUGCAUAGUCACCUCAGGUGAAGACUUGGUAAGCAGGAAAAUCUUAUAAUAAGACGAUCACCACUGGACAUGAAAGAUGGAGAAACAGAUUGCAUCGCUUGUAGAAGUUGUCGUAUAGUGGGAGUAAGUCUCUUGGUAUAGGUCAAUAUAUAUAUGUCAUCAGGCACAACAAGGCUUGAAGGUCCGUAUACCAAACGAACAUUACUACCGGCAAGCAUAGUGUGACGAUAGUUCGCCCGGCGUACUAUACAUAGAGUGGGCACUGGCUCCGUCAGUCCGUCUCUGCGUUUCCUGCUGUGCUUAGCGACGCUGAAGAAAAUAAGAGCCCCAGGCGGGAACUUCUCCGACCCUGUAUGAUCUUAGCCUCGGGCUCGCAGCUCCGGCCAGAUCGGCGGAUGUCUUGAAGAGGUUAUAUCGAUCCCGGCGGUCUUGGAUUAACAGCGUGGUUCAUAUUAUGUAGUGCAUAGUUAGUGGCUGUGUUCUUGAGUGUGCACAGCUGUUCCGACAUAGUGCUGUGCACAGCUCCUCAUACUCUGGUGUACUUAGCACAUGUUGAAGUGCCUCUUGCCGCUUAGCGAACGUGCAAGUUGAUGAGCAACAAUGUGUUAGAUUUCUUAAAUAUUGAAAUGCCUUGCAAACAGAAAACAAUAAGAUUACAGAAGACUAUUGACACCCAAAUUAGAGAAACACAAAAUAACUUAAAUCUAGUUUCCUUCGAACUACGUCAGACCUGAGUGGCUUAGAUCGUUCCGUGAUCGUGUAACAUAGCGAGAAUAAGGGUAAUUAGGCCCCUUCGACUGUAUAAGUUGACCAUUCAGAUAUACACCUGUUGGUCGAGUGGUUAAGGUGCCUUGUACACCAGUUGCAUAGUGCUCCUGGCAGUAUGGGUUCGAGUCACUUCUGGGGGUGUGAGUAUUCAGUUGCAUGUAUGCCUGGUGACCAUUCAGGCUUGUUCAGACUUGUAUAUAUAUAUGUAUGCCUGAAGGCGGUGUUCUUUGUGUACGCUCUUCCUAGCGGUUCACUGUGAAAGCCAGAGACAUAACGUCGAGGAGUCUGUAAACACUAAUCUACUUUGAGGAAAUCAUCUCAGUGUUCAUGAUCAAGCAUGGAACUGGUGUGUGUAUGUAUUUGUAAUUUGCUUAGUAAUUGAUAAUUUAUUGUUGUGGGAAGUACCUUUUGUUACUUUAGGGGGAGUGAUGUAUUGACUAGGUUUCGGAUUGGUAAGUUAGUUGAUAAGCUCAUGAUGGUCAUGACUAGCCUUAGAGCCAUAAAGCUCUAGAGCUACAGAUCUCUAGAGUUCUAGAACUCUAGAUCCAUAGAUCCCCUACCACCCCAGAUGACCCGGAAACUGAACCAUUUACGCGCUCAAUCCUGUUUACAUAUAUAAUAACCUACGGAUUCUAUUAUGCAAGUUUUUCAUAUAAAAUUUAAAUAACAUUUAGUUGAAACACCAGAUCUUUGAAAAUAUCACCACACAAAAUAGCACAACCAAUAUAUUCACUCUAAGUAGAGAGAAUAAAUUGUUUUCACGUUCGAAAUUUAUUCUGGCCGGCAGCAAGGCACAAUACUCUUAAAUCUUAAGGUAGACAACAGAGAUCUAACCUCUCAUUACCAACCUGAGUUUGUCACGUGCUGUGCAGCGGCCUGGCUGAGCUCUUCUAAAUAUUACUUACUCUAAAGGAAUAAGCGAAAAACAGAACACCAUGGUGCCAUGGGAUGUCAAAAUCGAGCACAAUGGUUUUCUGUGUGCUGCGUUUUUUUCCACAGAAUUCGACUUAAAUCUUCUCCCAUAGAAUCAGGAACUGGGACAUGAGCUUGCACACUACAUCACCGAAUGCCCAGUUAUCAGACCAUUCAGACUCGUUGGCAUGAGGUACCUGGAGCUUUGCAAUUGCUUUAUUCACUCUCGUGUUCUUGAAGAU
rnacentral:misc_RNA from 1 species